rnacentral:rRNA from 1 species
GACGAACGCUGGCGGCGUGCCUAAUACAUGCAAGUAGAACGCACAGUUUAUACCGUAGCUUGCUCCACCAUAAACUGUGAGUUGCGAACGGGUGAGUAACGCGUAGGUAACCUGCCUGGUAGCGGGGGAUAACUAUUGGAAACGAUAGCUAAUACCGCAUAAUAUUAAUUAUUGCAUGAUAAUUGAUUGAAAGAUGCAAUUGCAUCACUACCAGAUGGACCUGCGUUGUAUUAGCUAGUAGGUGAGGUAACGGCUCACCUAGGCGACGAUACAUAGCCGACCUGAGAGGGUGAUAGGCCACACUGGGACUGAGACACGGCCCAGACUCCUACGAGAGGCAGCAGUAGGGAAUCUUCGGCAAUGGACGAAAGUCUGACCGAGCAACGCCGCGUGAGUGAAGAAGGGUUUCGGAUCGUAAAGCUCUGUUGUAAGAGAAGAACGGGUGUGAGAGUGGAAAGUUCACACUGUGACGGUAUCUUACCAGAAAGGGACGGCUAACUACGUG